rnacentral:misc_RNA from 1 species
GGCAGCUAAAAUCAACAGGAUAACCUGUACAAGUCAUGUAAUCAACAUAAAAAAGAUAUUAACCAUUAAAGAUCAUCGUGCAUAUGCCAGGAUGUAGAAUUGGAGACCUAAGCAACAAAUGACACUCCUACAUGGGAAUUAAUAAGUGUGCCCAGCAAACAGAGAAAUACAAGAAGUAAAUGCGCCAUAGAAACACCAAAAUGCAUAUCCCAGAUCACAUCAAAUUAUUUUGUUCUAUCACCAACACAUAAAACACAUCCAUAUCAAUUUAAAAAAAAAAA